rnacentral:lncRNA from 1 species
UACAAACAGAAUUGAAAAGAUGGGACAAAACUUGUACUUUGGCACUAAUUUUUGAACUGCACUAUGCAUGAAUGUGCAAAAUUCUACUGCAGCAACGCUGCAUAAAUUCUUCAAAUUGGUAGUGCAGCAAAACUGCACAAUUCUAAUUUGUUAUGCAGCAAAACAUUUCUAACAAACCACAGUGCCAUUACCUAAUCAAUGCUGGUUCAUUUACUUAUGUAGAUAUGAAACCAACUGCAAGCAAGCUCUUAGUUGUGUUCAAUUCAAAUUUAUUCCUACCAAUUCUGCAUAACUCUUCAUAGAUAGUGCUCCUGACUUGGUGCAUAUGGAUAGCUCAACACUGGGCUAAGGAGACCUUACUUUAUGGACUACUGAUUUUUAAAGGGAUCAAAGACUCCUUUUUAACAUGAUUCCAAAAUAGAUAAUCCUUCUGAAUUGCUAAACCACGCCUUCAGCUCCUGCAGCUCCCACCUACAGCUCCUACAACUUCUUCCUCUAUUGAUUAUAUUCCUAAUACUGAACCAACCAGUCAAAUACUUAACACGUUUUGCAUUCAAUAUGCAAAAUACAGAACCUAACACUGUAAGAUUCAACAUGUUUUCUGGUGAUAUCUGAUCAAAUAAAAUGAAAAUUUAACUAGGAGAGGAAGAUAACGUAUUCAUGGAUGAUACCCAGGUGUACUAGGUCGAUUAGGCCCAGGUGAAGGAGGUGGGCUUGGCUUGACACCCAGACCUGCAAAUUAAGAUCACAGCACGUUAUUAACUGUUGAAUAUACACAUAAUAAGCUUUUAAAUUCAAGAAAAUGUUUAUUGUUUAUUGGUAAAUUAAAAAAAAAUGUACUUUUACUUGGUAAACACUUACAAGGACGUCAUCUAUCAAACAUUAAUGACAUGAUCGUGAUCUUACAAUUUUAAACACAUGCUACAAUCAAAAUCUUGGACCACAUGAAAAUAAAUGAUUAUGAUGUUGAAUCACUGCUAGCUUUUCAUUUUAUUUCGUGUUCUUUUUUGGAUUUUAAGUUUUUUGGAACUCUUGAAUUUAUGACGCUGGAAUCUGUAGGGGAAAUAGGUAGGUGUUUUUCAUGUAUCAAUAUAACGUUUAUGUCUUAAGAUGGUUAAUCUUGCACGAUAGUAAGGUUUACGUUUAUGUCUUAAAGAUGGUUAAUCUUGUACGAUUGUAAGGUACUGAUUAGGUUUUGGUUCUGUUUUUGAAGUUUACAGUAGGAAUCAUAAUCUCUAGAGCAUCUCUAAAGUAAUCCACAUUCUUUGACUGAUAAAAAAAUACAUGUUUACAUAUUUGAAUGAGGUAGACAAAGUUGUAGGUAAGUGCAGGUUUUUAUAAUAAUCCUUUCAAAACAAUAAUAUUAUAAUGUUUUUCCAGAAUCACCAAAACCCUACGUUUUCAUGAUACACUAAUUUUUCCAAAAAAAAGAAGAUGCAUGCAUGACACAUACGUGGUGGAAGUGAUCGUGAUUUUAUUCUUCUAUGCAUUUUGAUGAUUCAUUAGGAAGACUAACCUGAACCAAAACUGAACUGCAAAAGCAAAAGAAAGGCUAUGAUUAAUAGAAGAAAACGUAGAGAGAUUGAUGAGAGACUCAAGAUGUUAGCCAUCGUCUCACACUGCUGAAACUUGAUGGUGUGCCAGUCAUGCUUCAGAAUCAGACAUCGAGAAAAAUUUAUAAUGAUGUGAGAAGAAAACCCUAACUUUUUUUCUUCGAUUUCAUACUACAUCAAUUGAAAAAAUGUAACAAAUUCCAAGAAUUUGUCAAGCAACGAUGGGAUUGAUCAAGAAAAAUAAAAUCAGGUCUAUUAGUGUUACUUUGACUAGUGAAUAAUUAUUAUUUUUUAUUGGAAAGUCAAUAAUCAAAUGAGAAAGAUUGAAUAUUAGUAACGUUAAAAUAUAUGAAUUAGUUUUUUUUAUCUACAAAUAAAAAAUUGCAUAAAUAUGAGGUGAUCCAACUCUUAUAUAUAAUAUAACGACGACAAUGCUCAUUGAAUCCUUCGGGACAAACAAAAUCUUAUACUAUACUAAAAGAAACAUUUUCAAAUUUGACCAAGGUGAACAUUCUCAUUGAUCACUUACUCCACUUUUACAUAGUCCUAACAUUAGUAGUUUAUGGUUCCAAUAGUUCAACAGUUUGCAAAACUUGAGAUCAAAUUGGUUUCACUACAACCAAAUUGUGAAAUAAAAGCUAAUUUUUUAAUCAAAAUAAUUAGUUACUAUAUUGAUUAAAUUAGAAACCUCAUUUUAUAAAUUAAAAAAAUUAUUGAUAUCUAAAAUAGUUUUUAUUAUUAAUAAAAAUUUAUAAAGUAUAAAUUAUUAUCUAACUAUUAGCUACUAAGCUUUUCUUUAGGGUUGGGAGAGUGAAGGAAGGAAAAUUGUCUGGAUAAAGUGGGAAACUUGCUGCAAACCAAAGAAGGAAGUGGGUCUGGACAUUAAGGAUGUUAGCAGCUUUAACAAAAUAACAUUUUCGUUAUUGUUUCUUGCUGAUAAAAAAAAAUAACAUUUUUGUCGACCAAGUGGUCAAGUUUGAAACACUUUGGGUAUUGAAGCAAUCUAAGAAUUUUUUUUAAUUUUUAUUUAUGUUCUUAAUUUUAAUUAAAAUCCUAUUUUCAAAUUUAUUGACAAAUACAUAACCGAUUUAUAAGAUAACCAAUUUUAAUUUUAGUGGAAGCAUACGAUUAUUUUAUUAAUGAUUAGUAUACAUAUCAUAUUUUCUAGCCAUUUUUUCAAUGAAAGAGAAUUUUUAAAAAAAUUCCAAAUUAAUAAACUUUGUUGGUGGCUCCUAACCAUCAACAAUAUUUUUUUCUUGUGUUAUUUACACACCAUAAUUUCGAUGAAACAUAUUUGUUUUUUUAAAUGUGUAAAUAUAAUAAAAAAUUGAUUUUUUUGCGCAAUCAAAAUAGAAGUUGUGAACCAAAAUAAAAUAAUUAGAGUAAAAUAUAAUUUUUCUAACUUAUUUUUUAUUUUAUUUUAUGUCUUUAUUUAAUUGCAUUUAUCUUUAAAAUUUAUUUUUCAAACAAAUAAGUUUAUUCGUAUUGGAUCAGUUUAGGUAUAAAUUUUAUUUUGUACUCUAUGGGUCUUGUUGAGUCGAAAUCUACUCUUUCUUUUUUUUCUAACAUCAUUAUCAGUUUUAACUCAUUUGUAUUAAUUUUACCUAUGUUGUUUAGUACUGAAAAAAUUUGUUGUUUCUUAUUUUAUUAAUCUUGUUAGUGGUAUUUUUCUUUAAAAGCCUCUUUCUAAUUUUUUUUACUGAUAAUAGUUAAUUGUGAUAUUUUCUAGGAUUGUUUUUUAUUAGUAAAAAAGGAUUGAAUAACAGGAACCACUUAAGGAGUGGUUCAACCCUUAUACAUACCUAAAAAAAUGAAACAAUUUCUCUGGCCUCCCAAACCAACAAAUAGAGAGAAACAAACAAAUCUACCACUAAAAACCCGUAUAGCCCGUACACUUUCAAGACUAACCCGUACAAAUUCAAAACUAACACGUAUAAAUUCAAAUAUAACCCGUACAAACUCAAUACAAUCUCUUUGCAACCACAACAAGGGCAAAAAGAACAACAAACAACUCAACUAAAGGAAUAACUCUUAUAAAAGCUCACUUUAUUGAAAACAUAGAAGCCUUAGGAACAGUUUUAGAAGUUACCCAAGGAAACACCUCAAAAUAAAAGAAACUACAAAUAAAAAUUAUUUUUAAAAACAUAAAAUAACUAAUUGUUAUAAUAACUAAAUUAAAAACGAGGUGGACUAUAUUGACUAUUUGUCGGUGGACUAUGUCCCGGUCUUUUCGGUGGAUUAGGAGAAGGUGGAGGAGGUAGAGUUGGCAGGUCUUCCAAUUUUCUCAUUUUCAGAUCUGCAAAUUAAGAUCUCUUAUUAACGGUUGAAUAUACAUAUAAAUAAUAAGCUUCUAAAUUCAAUAAAAUCUACUUUUACUUUACGUUCUAAACACUUACCAGGACGUCAUCUAUCAAACAUAGUGAUCGUGAUCUUACUGUUUUAAAAACAUUAUAAACAUAAACUAAUUAUUAGAUAUUAAAAUAAUUAAAUUAGAAAAAAUUUAAAAAAAAAUUAUUAUUAUAAAAUAGUUUAUAAAUUGAUAUGUAAUUAACUACGAAGAUUUUAACUACCAAUUAUUUAAAUUUUAAAUUUAAUAAAAAAAUUAUUUACUAAUUAGAUAUCAAUUUAAAAACCAUUUAAUAAUAAUAUAAAUUAAUUUUAAAAUAAAAAAUUUAUUUAAUUUUUAAAAUGGUCUUUAAUUUAAUUAUUAUAACAACUAAUUAUUUUUUUUUCUUUAAAAUUAUUUUUAUUUCAUGAUUUUUUUUAUAGUUGGACCAUAAGAAAAUAAAUAAUUAUGAUAUUGAAUCACUUGGCUUUUCAUUUUCUGUUCUUUUUUUUUGGAUUCUUUAGUUUUUUGGAACUCCAUGUCUAUUGUGAUUGAGCAUUACAAGUUUGAAUCUGCUAAAAAAAAAGAUGAAGAUGCAUGCAUGACAGAUACGUGGUGGAAGUGAUCGUGAUUAUCUUCUUCUAUGCAUUUUCAUGAUUCACUUCGAAGACUAACCUGAACCAAAACUCAACUGCAAAAGGAAAAGAAAGGCUAUGAUUAACAGAAGAAAACGUGGAGAGAUUGAUGAGGGACUCAAGAUGUUAGCCAUUAUCUCACACUGCUGAAACUUGAUAGUGU